CGGGAUAUAGCUCAGCUUGGGAGAGCGCAUACUUUGGGCGUAUGAGGCCGCAGGUUCGAACCCUGCUGUUCCGACCA
rnacentral:tRNA from 1 species